rnacentral:rRNA from 1 species
GACGAACGCUGGCGGCGUGCUUAACUCAUGCAAGUCGAACGAAGUGGCGAACGGGUGAGUAACGCGUAAUCAACCUGCCCUUCAGAGGGGUAAAACAGUUGGAAACGACUGCUAAUACCGCAUACUGAAGGAGGGGAUUGCGUCUGAUUAGCGAGUUGGAGGGGUAACGGCCCACCAAGGCGAUGAUCAGUAGGCGGUCUGAGAGGAUGAACGGCCCCAUUGGGACUGAGACACCGCCCAGACGCCUACGGGAGGCAGCAGUCGGGAAACUUCCGCAAUGGACGAAAGUCUGACGGAGCAACGCCGCGUGAGUGAUGACGGCCUUCGGGAUGUAAAGCUCUGUUAAUCGGGACGCGGUACCGGAAUAGAAAGCCACGGCUAACUACGUGCCAGCAGCCGCGGUAAUAC